UUGAGUUUAGAGAUCUAAUUUCUCUAAUGGCCAAAUCACUUCUGUGUCUUAGAAAGUGUUUUCUACUGAGCUCGAUCAACUAAUAGCCUGGGACUGGCCUCACACACUCUCUAUGCAGCAAUGUUUACAUGAAAGUAUGGACCCAAUCGAGGAUGAAUUCCAGAAUGUCCUCAUUGUGCCUCACCUGAGCUAUUGUGACAGCUUCUCUCUAACCUGGUAGGAA
rnacentral:lncRNA from 1 species